AGGGUCUAGUAUAUAUAUAUAAUGUAUGUAAAUUAGUGUCCCAAUGCUGGCCUAUUGUACUUUAGUUAAUGGUGAAUCUUUUUAUGAGUGAUUUUUUCUUCUUUUUUUUUAUUGGAGAGAUUAGGAUAGUAGUGUGUCAUGACAAUUCAGACCCAAUUGUGUACUUAUUGACAUAAAAAGUCACAUUGUUUCACUAAUAGCCGAUUCAUGUUCCUCGUGAAUAUUUCAAAAGUUCAGGUUCAUUAAAUGUCAAAUUUUCUUUUUCAUUCCUUUUUGCGCCAACUUCUAUUAGAAGUAAUACCUACUCCCUCCGUUCUGAAAUGUAAGAUGUUUAGAAGAUAUUCUUUAAAAUCAUGUUAUUAUAAUUGUUGUCGAGAGACAAA
rnacentral:lncRNA from 1 species